GUAACCUGGGGAUCCCUGGCCACCCGCUGACAGCCCAAGGUGCGGCUGACACCUGCGAGGGCUGGGGGCCGGGACUCGGAAGCUGCGAUGACCCGGUGCCCACCAGGCCUCUCCCCGGCCGGGGCGACUUCUCUUCCGGCAGGUGAGCCUGAGGGACUGCCGCAACGUGUCUGUGUUCCUGGCCCCUAGCGUGCUCCCGCUGCUGGAGGACAAGCUGCGGACAGAGCUGCCUGCUGGGGCCCGCGUGGUGUCUGGGCGCUUCCCACUCCCCACCUGGCAGCCUGUGACCGCGGUUGGCGAGGGCCUGGACCGAGUAUGGGCUUAUGAUGUUCCUGAGGGUGGGCAGGCUGGGGAGGCCGCCUCCUCGCGGAUACCCAUCCAGGCUGCCCCCGGACCUAGUUCUGCCCCCAUCCCGGGGGGCCUUAUUUCUCAGGCCAGCUGAGUAUUAGACACGAUAAAGACUCUGUGGGUUCUA
rnacentral:lncRNA from 1 species